UUGCAUUACUGAUUGCAGCGGCAUCCUUUUUAUAAGCCGAAGAAUGAGGCAUAAAAAGAUAUAGCGGAAAGCAGGUGCCACU
rnacentral:sRNA from 2 species